rnacentral:rRNA from 1 species
UACGUAGGUGGCGAGCGUUGUCCGGAUUUACUGGGCGUAAAGAGCGCGCAGGCGGUCGUACAAGUCGCGUGUGAAAGCCCCCGGCUCAACUGGGGAGGGUCACGCGAUACUGUUCGACUCGAAGGCAGGAGAGGGAAGCGGAAUUCCCGGUGUAGAGGUGAAAUUCGUAGAUAUCGGGAGGAACACCAGUGGCGAAGGCGGCGACCUGGACGGACGACGUGACGCGAGACGACGGA